rnacentral:lncRNA from 1 species
CCAAAAUCAGAUAUCUUUGGGUCAAGAUUGGUAUCAAGCAAUACAUUAGUGGCCUUGAUGUCCCUGUGAACAACCUUCAGUCUUGAUUCUUCAUGGAGGUAUGAGGGUCAAGAUUGGUAUCAAGCAAUACAUUAGUGGCCUUGAUGUCCCUGUGAACAACCUUCAGUCUUGAUUCUUCAUGGAGGUAUGCCAAACCUCUAGCAAUACCAACACAAAUCUUCUGCCUUGUUGGCCAAUCUAAUUUAAUUUGGUGUUCCUCUGGACCUUUAUUUGUAAAUGUAAUAAAAAUCAGAAAAUGAUACCACAUAGCCAUGUGCUAAGUAAAGAUUGUAGACUAUCACAUAAAUAGAAACCUGAAUUAGACCAUAUAGGAA